CACCCUAGCCUAGCUCCCUUGCCUUAGACUGUCUGCCUUGGGCCGCCCCGCCUCCCAGGGGCUGGUUCCCCACAUCGACUGCCCACUAGAUGGGGGUCCAAGACACCAUCCAUCCUUCAGAAUGGCUCUGCUCGGUUCCCAGCACCUUCAGGGAAAACCACGCGUCACGCGCCAGGCCUCGGGCCCUAUCUGAACCUCCAGUCGGUCCAAGGGGAGCGCUCCCCCCAUGUGGCAUCGAAAUUGGGAAAUAAGACCCCGAUCACCAAGAAGCCAAGCCUCAGGGUGGUGAAGACAGAAUUCCAUUUUGUCAUGCGGGCACUGGCAGAGGAGGUCGGGAAGGGAAAUGAACUUUUAUGAAAGACAGAAGAGUCAACAAGCAGCACAAGCCAACUUGAGAACCUGUAACUGAUGGAGGCAGAUACCAGGAAUGCUUUCCUAAGAAGUGCUGGCCCCGGGGUGUGAAAACGGAAGCACCACCACCUGCUUGGCCUCAUAGUCCCUUUCUCUGGAGCCACUGUGAGUCUGUGUAGCAUCCAAAACAUCAAGUGUGCCUGGUCAGAACGUGGUCCAGUGGAGCCAAGAUACUUGGGCGAUAGGCACAUAAAAGAAUUAUGGCCCAGCAACAUUGAAUGAUCACAUCCGGCACUAAAUGUUAUAGUUUAUGCUACAAUCAAGUAAUGAAGUCUGGCCCUGCCUUCCAGUGAAACUGAGCAUACUACACAAAACUGACUCCUGACUUAAUCCCCCGAUGCCAUCCUGACUACAAAGGAAGGCAUCAUCUUUCCCCAGAAGCUUUGGAGCUUUACACCAGCAACCUUGGAUAGCCAAAGCAGAUUCCAGGUCGCUUCCUGUUUGAAAACUUGACUCUCCCCUUGGCUGAGUGGCUGGAUUCCUCCCUGAGCCAUGCUGCAUGAGUGAUGGACCCAGCUGUCAGUUCACUUGUAAGAGCCAUGUCAAGUCCUUGUACACAUCCUUCAGUUCUUAUAUUUGUUUUUUGUUUUGCUUUGUUUUAUGGGCGUAAGUUAAUACAUACUCAUUGUGGUGAAAAUUCAAGAAAGGAAAGUGAAACCCUCUUGUAUUGUGGCUGCUUUGCAUGCAUUAUUACUUGAUAAUAAGCCGAUGUAAGGAUUCGGUAAGUAGAAAGAUAAAAAUUAUAUAGACCAUUUCAAUAUAUUAAGGGCUUUCUAAAUUGAAGUGAUGAAGUUUUACAGUAUUUUUGUUUGUUCAUUUCUACUUUGUUUGAAGUUGUGGGGUCUUGUAUUCUACCACUGAGAUAUCCCCUUAGUCUCUAUGGCUUUGUUCUAAGACUGUACUAUAAGUGUUAGUGUUCCAUUGUUGUAAUAAAAUAUCAUUCAUGACCAAAAACAAUUUAAAAACAAAACAUUAUUUUAGUUUCCAGAGGGCUAGAGCCAAUUAAUGGCCUGGUGGCAAGAGCAGGAAGUAGAUCACAUUUUGUUCGCACACAGGAAACAGAGCAAAAGACAGCAAGAAGUGGUGGAGUGAGGUAUAAACCAUCAAAACUUGUGUGUGUGUGUG